rnacentral:lncRNA from 1 species
AGGUGUCCGAAGGGGCUGCGGAGGGGCCAGGAGGGGAUCCAGGUGCGGAGCCUAUUCUGCAUCCCCUGUGGUCCUCCCCUCUGCAGGGAGCAGGCUGGGCCUGGCCAGGUGAACAGGUACGGGAUUUCAGAGAUGGGGAGUCGGCCAGGCUACCCUACUCUGCAGAUGGGCAACUCAGUCUCAGCAAGGUCAUCAAGGGAGGGCUCACCACUAGAACCCAGGUCUCCUGGCCCCAGCUCUGUAAAGACACCACCCCACCCCCGAGGGUGGAGGAAAGGUGGAGUGUUGGGGCAAGGGCAUGGAACCUGCUGUUUGCACUGGUCGCAAAUCUGGAGGCGUGGGCUGGUUCAGCCACCUUCAGAGCCAUAGUGUGAGAGGGGCAGGUUGGGCUUGGGGCUUCUAGCUCGCUCUCCACUACUGACUGGUCACCUCAGGGCGCCUGGCACUCAGAAGAUAAAGAGACCACAGUCAAGGCCAGAAGACGAUUGCACUCAUAUCCCUGCAGGGCAGUGGGAUGUUGAGGGGUAACUCCAGGAACGAUGAAUGGAGUAUGAAGAGGUAAAAAUAAUAGGUACAGCUCCACAUUUGUAAUGGUCGUAAGCAUUGGUCAUCAUAAAUCAGGAAGCCUGUGAGUGAGCUGUUUGACAAGUGUGUCCCAUGUGGAGCUGGUGGAGGGCGGGUGGUGUUCCAGGGGUGGGGGAUGAGCUGGCAAGAGAGCCAGUGCUCCUGUGUAGGUUAGAGUAUGUGGUGAGCAUGUCUAUGUGUGUGACCGUCUGUGCAUCUGUGUGCGCAAGGAUGUAAGUGACAGCUCUGUGUGACUGCAGUGGGAGUGCCCAAGUGUGUGUGCCCGCAUGUCUGUGAAGGUGUGGGUGUGUGCAACGUGUGAGUGAGCCUAGGAGCAAGUGUGUGUGCACCGUGUGCGACUUGCCUUGUGUGAGACUGUAUAAGAGUACAUAGGGUGUGUUCUGGAUGUGUGUUUGUGUGUCUGUGGAGACUGUGUCCAUGUAGACAGGUGGGUGAGCUCUGGUGUGGGUGUUGGCGAGCACACCUGUGUUGUGGGCGUGAGGAUCAGAGCAUGUGCAUGUGCCAGGGUGCGUGUCUGCAUGGGGUGUGUCAGGCGUGAGUGUGGGGCUGAGCCAGUGGGGGCAGACUUCGUCUCUCUGCGUCGGGGGCUCGACUUCCCCACACUGGAGGUUUCUGGGAGCCCCCGACGUUGCAGUCCAGUUCCAGGCGUGUGACGUGCUCCCCUCCUGGUCCCCUGGGACCGCUGCGUCUCCGGUCCCUCGCCAGGCGAGACCAGGCAUUCGGAGCCCGCGCCCCUGCGCCGCGCAUUCCCAGGCCUCCGACGGGUGCGAAGCCCACGCGCUGGGCGCUGCAGGGACGCCGGGACCUGGAGGCCGCUCGAGCGCAGACCUGGAGCGCGAUGCCCGCCGCCGGGGCAGGACGGAGGGGGCGACAGCAGACCAGCGCUGCCGGAUCGGAUCGGGUGCGGCACUGGGAGUUCUCCAAGGUGCUAAAAUAAACCCUGCGAAGGAUCAGGUUUCCUGACCAAAAUAACCCAGGAGCGGCCUCAGAAAUGCGAACUGAGAAAGCGAUCCACGGCGGGGCGCCAGGGCUGGGGAGGUGGCCAUGAAAACUGCCUUCCGCGGGACUCCCGGCCCCUGCUCCAGCCCCCCGCCCCUGGAGUCUCCUUCUCUUCUGGGAUCAUCACCCCAAACGACAGCCCUGUGUUGGCCGGUGGUCUUUGAUUGCCAGGUCUGCAGUAGAUUAGAGCCGGGCUCUGGAAUCAGUCAUUCUUGCAAUAUUUAUGGAGUGCCUACUAUGUGCCAAACCCUACCUGUCCACCUGGGUGUCACCCAGGAGCAAAGAGACAGUGGUUCCUGCCCCUGGGUGUUGCUGUGUUAGUAGGAUAACACAGACCAUGAACACCACUAGCCAAGAAUAAAUAAGCAGAGUGUGUGGGUUGUUAAAUAGUGACACAUACUUCAAAAAAUAAGUAAAUAAAAGGAAAAAACAGCAGGGGGUGGGGGUAGGGUGAUGUUUGAAUCUGGCUCACUGAUUGCCUGGAAAGAAUCGCUUUGCCUCUGAGCUUUGGUCUUUCUGUUGGUGCCCUGGCACAAAGCACCUGUCUGUGAAGUUGCUGUGAGGUCCCACCGGGUGGUGCAGGGACCUGCCCUCCGAAUCUCCUGCAGUAAGUAUGAAGUGCAAGUUACUGAGGAAUAUGCUUGUUCUUAAUGGUGGGAAAGGGAUCUGAGACACUUGGAGGCUGCAAUGUCCAGACUGCGCCAGGGCCCACAAAGCUGCCGGGAAACUCUUGCUCUCAGGGAAGAGGCAGUGCCGACAAGUGGUUAGAGCCAGAAGAGUUAGGCUGAGGGCUGGAUCUGGACCCUGGUAGCAGCUGUGGGCUCUGGCAAGCCUCAUGGCCCCCACCCUGACCCUCAGCAGUCCACAGUGCUGGCACAGAAGGCUGUGCAGAGCCCUGGGCUGCACGGCUGUGUAGACAGGUCUCAGGCCGAGUCAGAGCCACCGGCCGGCCCAAGUCCCAGCUCUGGCCUUGGCCUCACAGGUGAUGUCACCCCUGAGUCUGCUCUUCCUCCUCUGAGAUGGGCAGAGGGAGGCCAGACUUCACCUUAUUGCCCAGGACUGUCCAAGGUCCCUCUAAGCACUGCACCCAAGAGCUCAGGUCAGCCCAGCAGACCCCAUGGGGUGCCCCCAAGUCACUGUUUCACUUGGCACCUGCCACUUUAACCCUUCUUUAUAUUCUGCUUAAUGAACAGGGACAUGUGGAUAAGAAUGGCUGUCCUGGGACAGUUUUGAGUACAGUUGUCACAAAAUGGGAUCAACCUAAAUGUCGAAGGAUGGAGGAGUGGCCUAUAUAGAUGGUGUCCACUGUGUGACAGCAGGCUUAUCAGGCAGCCUAGGAAAAUAAAGGGGUCGUCAUGGGGACGUGGCCAGGCUUACAUAGGUGGGUGAAACGGGAGCUAAGUUUUUAAAGAAUGUUCAACACGAUCCUAUUUUAAAUGUCUAUUUGUAUAUUUGUCUAUCUCAAUAGACAAAUACACCUGUGCUGGAUAUGCAGCUGUUUCACACUUAGAUAUAGUUUGUUUAACAUAUAUUCUUUUCUGACUAUUAAAAUAAUGCUUGGUUGGUGUACA